rnacentral:rRNA from 1 species
CCUACGGGUGGCAGCAGUGGGGAAUAUUGCACAAUGGGCGAAAGCCUGACGCAGCGACGCCGCGUGGGGGAUGAAGGUCUUCGGCUCGUAAACCUCUGUCAGCAGGGAAGAACAGUCCCUUUGCUAAUCAGCAGUGAAUUGACAGUACCUGCAAAGCAGCCACGGUCUAACUCCGUGCCCGAAGCCGCGGUAAUACGGAGGGUGCGAGCGUUGAUCGGAAUUACUGGGCGUAAAGCGCGCGUAGGCGGUAUGUCAAGUCAAGGGUGAAAUCCCCGCGCUCAACGUGGGAACUGCCUUUGAAACUGGGAAACUGGAGUGUGGGAGAGGAGAGUGGAAUUCCAGGUGUAGGAGUGAAAUCCGUAGAUAUCUGGAGGAACACCAGUGGCGAAGGCGACUAGCUGG